UACGGAGGAUGCGAGCGUUAUCCGGAAUCAUUGGGUUUAAAGGGUGCGUAGGCUGGUAUUAAGUCAGUGGUGAAAUUUUCGUGCUUAACAUGAGAGCUGCCAUUGAUACUGGAUACCUUGAGUGUAUUUGAUGUGGGCGGAAUGUGUUGUGUAGCGGUGAAAUGCAUAGAUAUGACACAGAACACCGAUAGCGAAGGCAGCUCACAAAGUUACAACUGACGCUGAUGCACGAAAGCGUGGGGAUCAAACAGG
rnacentral:rRNA from 1 species